GGCAGCCCCGCCACCCUCCCGCCCCAAGCCUGCAGGUGACCUGUGCUCACCUGGGCACUGUGGCGGCAGGUGGUCUGGCCAGUCCCACCUGUGCUGGGAGGCAGCCACGGUGCAACUAGGAGGUUCGUGGUUUGGACUCCCUCUUCCUUUGGGAAUCAGCGCAUCCUGUGCAGCCAGAGAGGGUCUCUGCGCUCAGGGACUCAGAGCGUCAAGGUAGGAACAGAGUCUGGUAGCGCACCUGCGGGGACACGAGGAUAUGGAGGGCACCAGGGAGACAUGAUGGGGAGACAGGCGGGGUCCCCGAGACACGGCAGCCUGAGUGCAGGGGCGACAGGAGGACAGAGGGCAGCUGCGGCUCAGGCGUGUGGGCUCUGCCCCAGGACCCCUCCCCACAGACAGUCACAGGACACAGGCCCAGGGAGGAAGGAGAAAGCCACUCACUGCGCGGGUCCCCUGGGCACUCAGGGCGCAGAGUGGGAGGCUGGCCUUCAGCUUUCUCUCCUCCUCCUCCUUUUCAAUGUGGUAAAACGCACCGUUUUAACCAUCUUUUGAUGGGCAAUUAGGUUUGUUUGUGUUUAUUUAUUUGUUUCACCGGUACUGGGGUGGAACCCGGGACCUCGUGCAUGCUAGGCUUGCCCUCUACCCCUCAGCUCUACCCGCCCCCUCGUUUUAACCAUCUUCAGCGAACAGCGCAGGGGCACCGAGUACACACUCACUGUGGUGUAACUGUCCCCACCGGCCCCAGAAUACUCACUGCUUCUAUUUCUUCCUGUCCUGUCCUGCCUCCUUUCUAGGCACCCACGUGAUCUUAGGGUUUGGGUAGACUGUAUUGUGGGAUGUCCUGCGUACGGUUCUUGGCAAUCCUUCGUUUUGAAACCUUACCCCCAAAGCCCACGGUGAAGCCACUGUCCGUUGCUUUUCCCUUGCGUCUGGUCCUUGGUUGACUCUUUUUCUCCCCAGGGAGAAGGACCAGCCCCUCCCCAAAUGUAAAUUCAGCUGCUGGAAGCGGACCUGUGUCCGCUGUACCCCCUCCCUGUGCUCUCUCAGAAACACGCUCCCAUGCAGAUGGCACGUCCUCCUGGACCCGCGCAGGACCCUGCACGUGUUUACGGGCAGACAGGCGGUGGGCCGAUACCCAUGGGGCGGUUCCCUCCCUCCUACUCGCUGACGGCCCCAGCGAGGGAGACCAGCAAGGAGCUCCGGGACUGACUUGCAGACGCAUCCCAGCGUGCGCUGAGAACCACUGGGCUUCACGCUGGCCAGGCCGCUGGGGGAUUGUUUUCCAAAUGACAAGUGAGUUGUUCUGACACCGCUUCCAGUGUAAUCCAUUGUAAUAACUGAAUGACCUGGUUUUGUUUGUAAAUUUCCCCCUCAGGUCUGCUGAUCCAGCUGUUUCCACAUGAGCACCAUCUAGUUUAUUGUUACAGGUUUAAUAUAUGAUCAAAAUGUGAUUCUUCAUUUAAGACUUCGAUGGAAUUCAAAUCUAGAUUCACAAGAGCAUCCCAUUGGGAUUCUGAGUGGGAUUACAUGAAACAUUUAGUUUAAUUUGGAAUGUUUCUGUUUUUGCAAGAUUAAGUUUUUUUCAUUUAGGACUGUGGAGUGUGUCUCUUCAUUUAUUCAAAUCUUCUUAAGGCUUGAAUUUGUUAAAGACUCUGCUCAUUGAUCAAAUAGACGUGACUUUCUCCAUCAGUGAGAAGACUGACAGUCUUAAGAAUAACUUAGUAAGGUAUGGUGAGCGUCCAAAGGGGAGUGUUCAGAUGUCCACAGAACUGUGCAGGUGGGUGGCGGGUCCCUAGCGUGACCACAGACACAUCACCGCACACGCGCUUACACCCCUCGCUGCUGUUCCCCGGCCUGUCCUGCUCCAGCACCUGGAGACGCCCUCACUCCCAGUCCUCUUCCCCGCUCCUGUGCAGCCCAGGGGGAUUCUUGUCCUUUAAAGACCCCCACGUUCCCCCACGGUGCUCCCCCCACUUCCCUGCACCCAGUUCCCCUCCCUUGGGUCAUUUCUGUGCUGGCUGCACCCCACCCCUGCACCGUGUGCUCCUGGGGUCCGGCUGUGCACGGGGGUCUUCCCUGGGCGGACCCCCUGCAGUCUGGGAACAGGGAGCUGCCUGACUCAGCACGGCCCUGCUGCCCACCCGAGCUUCCGCCCUGGGGGAGGCUUUGGAAGCACCGUGGAAGAGGCGACUGGACCAAGCGAGUUCUGCUCAUUCCCCACCUUCUCCACCAGGGAGACGCCACGUGGUCCAGGCUCCGGGGGCAGCACGUGCUUCCUUUCCACCGGCCGGUGUUGUCCUUGGCCAGGCCCGGAGGAGUCAGCAGUUCUGGGGGCAAACGGGGGAAGCCGCCCGGCCACGACCUUCCCCUCCCUUCGCCCAGGGUUUGGAGGUCUGCGCUUCUCCCCGCCCGGGCCCAACGGCAGGAGUUCAGCUGAGAAACGAGGCCGCGCACAGUGUCCCUGGGGCUGACGAGGUCACCAGGUCCCUCGGAGACGUGCCCUCCCCGGGGCUGGUGGUCUUCCUGCGCGCACCUGGCGGGAAGAUGGUCCAGGUGCAGCUGUCACCGGGAACCAAGCCAACACUCUCCAUCUCACUCUCUGAUCAGACUGUGAAGUGCGGUUUGUGAGGGUGGAUGUUAAAGCCAAGCCGACAAGUGUGUCAAGAAAGGCCGGGCCCGCACUCAGCCCAGGGUGCACCUCCUUGGACACGGUGCCCGAUCGCGGCGGCAGGCCGAGGUCUCGGGGAGCCGGCGUGACGGCCCGACGUCAUGCGCCGUGAGCUCAGCCUUGAACCCAGGUGAGGCUCGGGUGCCUUCUCCCGGGACGGCGGGUGGAGGAAAUGCGUUUUGAGUGGUUUAAAACCUCUGUCAUCUGAAAGUGAAAACAGCCCAAAUGGCCAUCAACUGACGAGCAAAUACAGGCAACACGUCCAAACGGGACACUGACCGGGUGGGGGCUGCACGCUCCAGUGCGGGUGGACGCGGAAACCACGCUCGGGGCGAAGGAGGUCAGCGAAGGGGCCAGAUGCUGUGCGAUUCCGUCCGCGAAGCACCCAGGCCAGGCCGGUCCACAGAGACAGAAAGCAG